rnacentral:rRNA from 1 species
GAGUUUGAUCCUGGCUCAGGAUGAACGCGGCGGCGUGCCUAAUACAUGCAAGUCGAGCGAGAAUUUCAUAAGUGGAGACUUCGGUCAAAGCGAGUGAAAGGAAAGCGGCGGACGGGUGAGUAAUGCGUGGGUAACCUGCCCUUUGGAGAGGGAUAGCAGUUGGAAACGGCUAUUAAUACCUCAUAAGCGCACAGUUUCGCAUGAAGCAGUGUGAAAAGAUUUAUCGCCAAAGGAUGGACCCAUGUCCGAUUAGUUAGUUGGUGAGGUAACGGCUCACCAAGACCGCGAUCGGUAGCCGACCUGAGAGGGUGAUCGGCCACAUUGGGACUGAGACACGGCCCAAACUCCUACGGGAGGCAGCAGUAGGGAAUAUUGCACAAUGGGGGAAACCCUGAUGCAGCAACGCCGCGUGAACGAUGAAGGAUUUCGAUCUGUAAAGUUCUUUUGCCGGGAAAGAUAAUGACGUACCCGGCGAAUAAGCACCGCA